ensembl:lncRNA
UUGGCGCAAUGCAAAAAAAUAAUAAUAAUAAUGACGGCUUGCAGAUCAGUUCCACACACUGAUCUGCAAGUGGUAAGCGGACAGCCCAGUUCUGGGGGAAGGAUCCAGUUGGCCCAACUGGACCUGUUGUGUCAAUAUUCGUAUUCAUCUCCCCUGCUGGCAAUAUUCGUAUUUGUCUCCUCCGGGAGAUGAAUACGAAUAUCUCAUCUCUAUAAAGAACAGAUGAACAAUCAAAGGGAAGACCUUGAGAACAUCUGGCAGGUUGUCCCCACUGCCCUGACAUUCACCAUCUGUGGUCACUGGCACAGCCUGCCUAAUGGUAGGAACAGUGCUGGAUCUUAGCUUCCUGUGCUUGAUCGUUCAACUUGUCUCUUAGUCCGCAACCUCACUUUCAUCACCUUUUCGCUGUCCCUUUUCUUUGACAAUUUCCACUUUGUUAAUUAACAAGGAUUUAAUCAGCUCAACUAAAGAUAGACCUAUCUGAACUUCUUCUUUUCUGACACUGACAUACCUAAUCAUAGAAAGACCUUUCUCAGCUGCUGAAGGCUUGAUGGCAACGGAUUUUUUUUGAGAGAGAGCUAUAUUUAGCCGCACACGGCAAGCUUGUUCAGAAGGAAGGGAAAGGGAGAGAAGAAAAAACGUGGGCAAGAAAAUAUCAAGAAGAAUUUCACUGUAGUCCUUAAGGUCAGAGGAAACCAAAUGGAUUCUGUUCCAAUUAAGCUUGCACAGGAAUUAUGUCUUGGACGUCUCCUUUUCUUAUUCACUUGCUUGUUUGAAGAUUCGGUGGCAAAAGAGGCAGUAUCGCCAUGGAUACACAGCAUUUUGGGCACCUGGGCUGCGCUUGGGGUUGGAAGAGACUGGCCUAUGCAUGGCGAGGCAGCCAUCUUGAGAAGACUAAUGGAUAGGGAGAAAUGUCUGGAUACACAACAGAUUGGAGAGCUGCAAAUCCCACAAGAUCUGGACUGUCUUCCUUUGUACAGCUUCUUUCAACCGAGCCUGGGCCAUGAAAGACUUCAGCUACAAAGGCUGCUCCAGUUGCUGGAGGCAUCUGGAGAGCAGGAGAGUUGAAGAAUUCUUCUUGCAAGCAUCCAUUAAUGCCCCUGCUAGUGUCCUGUCACCCAGUUGUACUAAACAUAAAAGAAGGAGAGGCUAGCCACCCCUGCCUCCAACAGUGAGGGACAGAAGAGGAGAUGCUCUAUUUCAUAUAGAGGCUCUAGUCUACACGUGAUCCGGAGCCCUUGCAAAAUCAGAUUUUCUGAUCCCAAGGAAAGCUCUGAUGUGCAACAGUGAUUCUCCUCUUCAGAACAUCAUUCUCUACACUUGGAAAGCCAUGUCUUUUAGAGCAGGGUGGGUUAAGGGUGACCCUCCAGAUGUUAUACGAUUACAAAUCCCCAGCCUUCCUCCCCCUUAGCGGUGCAGCCUGGGGCCGAGGGGAGCCACAGAGGUGCAAAACAUCUGGAGGAUUACCCUUUGCCCAUUUCCUCCACUACAGAAUGAACAAAGAGAGCUUUUGGUCUUUGGUAAAAUGGAUUAUUAUCACGGCAGUUGGAAUUAUGUUUUUUGGAUUGUGGUUGCCGAUCCUUGUGGAUGACUGGUGGACAUCCUUGUAGGCUCUAGCAAGAGGAGAAAGCAAGGCCAUUCCACCUGCUCUGUGAAAAGACCUUCUCCCUUGGGGGUCCUUUUUCACCACCAGCCAGCAGAAUGCAACAGAGGGAGGAAAGGUGAGCAGCCUGGCCAUGCACCUCAUCAUCAUCCUUUUCUUCCCAUUACACUCACAAACACACCAUUUUGCCAUAUAUAUUUCAGUUGUGAAGCCUGCAUGAAACGCCUGUUUGUUAUUAAUUGUACAUAAGCUGCCUAGUUACCCUUUCUGGCUGAGCCGUGGGUUAAAAAUAUUAUAACUAGAAAAGCCUGAUUAGUGGAUUGUUUGAAAUGAGCAUAUAUUUAUUUAAUAUUUGCAGGAUUCAUGGCAUUUGAUUGGCUUGCAAUUGUUAGUGAAUUAUCUUGGCACACUUAAUAAAAUAUGCAAACCCUCCUGAGAAACUAAGCUG